rnacentral:rRNA from 1 species
AAACUUAAAUGAAUUGACGGGACCCGCACAAGCGGUGGAUGAUGUGGUUUAAUUCGAUGCAACGCGAAAAACCUUACCCACCUUUGACAUGUACGGAAUCCUUUAGAGAUAGAGGAGUGCUCGAAAGAGAGCCGUAACACAGGUGCUGCAUGGCUGUCGUCAGCUCGUGUCGUGAGAUGUUGGGUUAAGUCCCGCAACGAGCGCAACCCUUGCCAUUAGUUGCUACGAAAGGGCACUCUAAUGGGACUGCCGGUGACAAACCGGAGGAAGGUGGGGAUGACGUCAAGUCCUCAUGGCCCUUAUAGGUGGGGCUACACACGUCAUACAAUGGCCGGUACAGAGGGUAGCCAACCCGCGAGGGGGAGCCAAUCCCACAAAGCCGGUCGUAGUCCGGAUCGCAGUCUGCAACUCGACUGCGUGAAGUCGGAAUCGCUAGUAAUCGCGGAUCAGCAUGUCGCGGUGAAUACGUUCCCGGGUCUU